UACGGAGGGGGCUAGCGUUGUUCGGAAUUACUGGGCGUAAAGCGCACGUAGGCGGCUUUGCAAGUCAGAGGUGAAAGCCCGGGGCUCAACCCCGGAAUAGCCUUUGAGACUGCAUCGCUUGAACAUCGGAGAGGUAAGUGGAAUUCCGAGUGUAGAGGUGAAAUUCGUAGAUAUUCGGAAGAACACCAGUGGCGAAGGCGACUUACUGGACACAUAUUGACGCUGAGGUGCGAAAGCGUGGGGAGCAAACAGG
rnacentral:rRNA from 1 species